UACGAAGGGGACUAGCGUUGUUCGGAUUUACUGGGCGUAAAGCGCGCGUAGGCGGAUCGCUAAGUCAGGGGUGAAAUCCCAGGGCUCAACCCUGGAACUGCCUUUGAUACUGACGGUCUGGAGAUCGGGAGAGGUGUGUGGAACUCCGAGUGUAGAGGUGAAAUUCGUAGAUAUUCGGAAGAACACCAGUGGCGAAGGCGACACACUGGCUCACUACUGACGCUGAGGCGCGAAAGCGUGGGGAGCAAACAGG
rnacentral:rRNA from 1 species